rnacentral:rRNA from 1 species
UGAGGAAUAUUGCGCAAUGGGGGCAACCCUGACGCAGCAACGCCGCGUGAGUGAGGAAGGUUUUCGGACCGUAAAGCUCUGUCGAGCGGGAAGAAAUGUAUCGUGGCUAAUAUCCAUGAUAUUUGACGGUACCGCUAAAGGAAGCACCGGCUAACUCCGUGCCAGCAGCCGCGGGAAUACGGGGGGUGCAAGUGUUGUUCGGAAUUAUUGGGCGUAAAGAGCGUGUAGGCGGUUGAAUAAGUCAGAUGUGAAAUCCCUGGGCUUAACCCAGGAAGGGCAGUUGAAACUAUUCAGCUUGAGUAGGGGAGAGGAAAGUGGAAUUCCUGGUGUAGAGGUGAAAUUCGUAGAUAUCAGGAGGAACACCGGUGGCGAAGGCGACUUUCUGGCCCUAUACUGACGCUGAGACGCGAGAGCGUGGGUAGCAAACA